rnacentral:tRNA from 1 species
GAGGGUAUUGCUCAGUGGUACAGCACAUGCCUAGCAUGCAUGAGGUUCUGGUUUCAAUCCCCAGUAUUUCCA